UUUAAAUUUUUUGAUCGUUGGUGAAUCAGUCGGAAGGAGUCAUUACAAGGACUCUAUAACUUAGGUGCCAAACCCCUGUGAACCGUGUUCUGAAGAAGUUGUCUCGGCGGGUGGUGUUAGCGGUCUUACGGCUGCUAAACCCGCUACGGUCGGCUCCGCCGGCCGCCCUGGCCCCGCCGGACGACGCAAACUCAAAUUUUGUUAUGGUGCAUUCAAAUACCUGUGGGCUCAAAUAGAAACAAAACUUUCAACAACGGAUCUCUUGGCUCUGGCAUCGAUGAAGAACGCAGCGAAAUGCGAUAAGUAAUGUGAAUUGCAGAAUUCAGUGGAAUCAUCGAAUCUUUGAACGCACAUUGCGCCCAGUGGUAUUCCACCGGGCAUGCCUGUUCGAGCGUCAUUUCGGCCCUCAACCCCUAUUAGCUUCGGCGGAUAGGGCGUUGGUGUUGGGGGAUUAGCGCACCGCUAACCCCUGAAAUUCAACGGCGUGUUCGCUGUCGGACUCUUUGCGUAGUGGAUUAACAAUUUCUCGCACCGAGUUUGUAGCGGACGUGGCCGCUAAACCGUCACUAGACACACUAGCUUUUGACCUCGAAUUCAGGUAGGGUUACCCGCUGAACUUAAGCAUAUCAAUAAGCGGAGGAAAAGAAACCAACAGGGAUUGCCUCAGUAACGGCGAGUGAAGCGGCAACAGCUCAAAUUUGAAAUCUGGUGCCUUUCGGCGCCCGAGUUGUAAUUUGCAGAGGAUGCUUUUGGCGAGAUGCCCGGCCCAAGUUCCCUGGAACGGGGCGCCACAGAGGGUGAGAGCCCCGUACGGCCAGGCGUCGAGCCUCUAUAAUGCUCCUUCUACGAGUCGAGUAGUUUGGGAAUGCUGCUCAAAAUGGGAGGUAAACUCCUUCUAAAGCUAAAUAUUGGCCAGAAGACCGAUAGCGCACAAGUAGAGUGAUCGAAAGAUGAAAAGCACUUUGAAAAGAGAGUUCAAAUAGCCACGUGAAAAUUGUUGAAAGGGAAGCGCUCAUGAUCAGACUGGGGCUUGGUGGUUCAGCCGUCCUUCUGGGGCGGUGCACCUCCGCCGGUUCCGGCCAGCAUCAAGUUGCUGGUAGGGGAUAACUGUAGUGGGAAUGUGGGCCCUGCGGGGUGUUAUAGCCCCCCUACCGUAAUGUCCUGUCCGGCGAACUGAGGUUAGCUUCUUCGCGAUGCGGGAUAUGGUUUAACAACCUUUUAAAAACCGAAAAAAA
rnacentral:rRNA from 1 species